rnacentral:rRNA from 1 species
GACGAACGCUGGCGGCGUGCCUAAUACAUGCAAGUUGAGCGCUGAAGGUUGGUACUUGUACCAACUGGAUGAGCAGCGAACGGGUGAGUAACGCGUGGGGAAUCUGCCUUUGAGCGGGGGACAACAUUCGGAAACGAAUGCUAAUACCGCAUAAAAACUUUAAACACAAGUUUUAAGUUUGAAAGAUGCAAUUGCAUCACUCAAAGAUGAUCCCGCGUUGUAUUAGCUAGUUGGUGAGGUAAAGGCUCACCAAGGCGAUGAUACAUAGCCGACCCGCGAGGGUGAGCGGCCCCAUUGGGACUGAGACACGGCCCAAACUCCUACGGGAGGCAGCAGUAGGGGAUCUUCGGCAAUGGACGGAAGUCUGACCGAGCAACGCCGCGUGAGUGAAGAAGGGUUUCGGAUCGUAAAACUCUGUUGGUAGGGAAGAACGUUGGUGAGAGUGGAAAGCUCAUCAAGUGACGUUAACUACCCAGAAAGGGACGGCUAACUACGUG